rnacentral:misc_RNA from 1 species
UGGGUUUUCUGAUCAGACAGUGGAAUUGGAUUUUCUGUAUCCUAGUGAAGGGAUCCAUAAGAGGUGGGAUGCUGGUUAUCGUAUCACAGCGACUGCAGCUACAUGGGAUCAAGCUGCAUUUGUUCUAAGUAUACCAAGAAGGAAACCUCCUGAUGAAACGCAAGAGACACUUCGUACCUCUGCCUUUCCCAGCACUCAUGUCAAGGAGAAAUGG